UUAAGUUAAUAAGGGCGCACGGUGGAUGCCUUGGCACUAGGAGCCGACGAAGGACGUGACAAACGACGAUAUGCCUUGGGUAGCUGUAAGUAAGCGAUGAUCCAGGGAUUUCCGAAUGGGGGAACCCAACAGGUAAUACCUGUUCCCCACAUCUGUUAAGGAUGUGAGGAGGAAGACGCAGUGAACUGAAACAUCUAAGUAGCUGCAGGAAGAGAAAGCAAAAGCGAUUGCCUUAGUAGCGGCGAGCGAAACGGCAGAAGGGCAAACCGAAGAGUUUACUCUUCGGGGUUGUAGGACUGCAUUGUGGACUCAAAGAUUAUAGAAGAAUGAUUUGGGAAGAUCAGCCAAAGAGAGUAAUAGCCUCGUAUUUAAAAUAGUCUUUGUACCUAGCAGUAUCCUGAGUACGGCGGGACACGUGAAAUCCCGUCGGAAUCUGGGAGGACCAUCUCCCAACCCUAAAUACUCCCUAGUGACCGAUAGUGAACCAGUACCGUGAGGGAAAGGUGAAAAGCACCCCGGGAGGGGAGUGAAAUAGAACCUGAAACCGUGUGCCUACAACAAGUUCGAGCCCGUUAAUGGGUGAGAGCGUGCCUUUUGUAGAAUGAACCGGCGAGCUACGUUAUGAUGCGAGGUUAAGUUGAAGAGACGGAGCCGUAGGGAAACCGAGUCUGAAUAGGGCGCCUUAGUAUCAUGACGUAGACCCGAAACCAUGUGACCUACCCAUGAGCAGGUUGAAGGUGCGGUAAGACGCACUGGAGGACCGAACCAGGGCACGUUGAAAAGUGCUUGGAUGACUUGUGGGUAGCGGAGAAAUUCCAAACGAACUUGGAGAUAGCUGGUUCUCUCCGAAAUAGCUUUAGGGCUAGCGUCGACAUUAGAGAUUCUUGGAGGUAGAGCACUGUUUGGGUGAGGGGUCCAUCCCGGAUUACCAAUCUCAGAUAAACUCCGAAUGCCAAUGAAUUAUGGUCGGCAGUCAGACUGCGAGUGCUAAGAUCCGUAGUCGAAAGGGAAACAGCCCAGACCACCAGCUAAGGUCCCAAAAUAAUUGUUAAGUGGAAAAGGAUGUGGGGUUGCACAGACAACUAGGAUGUUAGCUUAGAAGCAGCUAUUCAUUCAAAGAGUGCGUAAUAGCUCACUAGUCGAGUGACCCUGCGCCGAAAAUGUACCGGGGCUAAAACAAUUUACCGAAGCUGUGGAUACCUUUAUAGGUAUGGUAGGAGAGCGUUCUAUGUGUGAUGAAGGUAUACCGUGAGGAGUGCUGGAACGCAUAGAAGUGAGAAUGCCGGUAUGAGUAGCGAAAGACAGGUGAGAAUCCUGUCCACCGUAAGACUAAGGUUUCCAGGGGAAGGCUCGUCCGCCCUGGGUUAGUCGGGACCUAAGGAGAGACCGAAAGGUGUAUCCGAUGGACAACAGGUUGAUAUUCCUGUACUAGAGUAUGUAGUGAUGGAGGGACGCAGUAGGCUAACUAAAGCAGACGAUUGGAAGAGUCUGUCUAAGCAGUGAGGUGUGAAUUGAGUCAAAUGCUUAAUUCUAUAACAUUGAGCUGUGAUGGGGGGCGAAGUUUAGUAGCGAAGUUAGUGACGUCACACUGCCAAGAAAAGCUUCUAGCGUUUAAACAUACUCUACCCGUACCGCAAACCGACACAGGUAGUCGAGGCGAGUAGCCUCAGGUGAGCGAGAGAACUCUCGUUAAGGAACUCGGCAAAAUGACCCCGUAACUUCGGGAGAAGGGGUGCUGACUUAAAGUCAGCCGCAGUGAAUAGGCCCAAGCAACUGUUUAUCAAAAACACAGCUCUCUGCUAAAUCGUAAGAUGAUGUAUAGGGGGUGACGCCUGCCCGGUGCUGGAAGGUUAAGAGGAGUGCUUAGCGUAAGCGAAGGUAUGAAUUGAAGCCCCAGUAAACGGCGGCCGUAACUAUAACGGUCCUAAGGUAGCGAAAUUCCUUGUCGGGUAAGUUCCGACCCGCACGAAAGGCGUAAUGAUUUGGGCACUGUCUCAACGAGAGACUCGGUGAAAUUUUAGUACCUGUGAAGAUGCAGGUUACCCGCGACAGGACGGAAAGACCCCAUGGAGCUUUACUGCAGUUUGAUAUUGAGUGUCUGUACCACAUGUACAGGAUAGGUAGGAGUCUAAGAGAUCGGGACGCCAGUUUCGAAGGAGACGCUGUUGGGAUACUACCCUUGUGUUAUGGCCACUCUAACCCAGAUAGGUGAUCCCUAUCGGAGACAGUGUCUGACGGGCAGUUUGACUGGGGCGGUCGCCUCCUAAAAGGUAACGGAGGCGCCCAAAGGUUCCCUCAGAAUGGUUGGAAAUCAUUCGCAGAGUGUAAAGGUAUAAGGGAGCUUGACUGCGAGAGCUACAACUCGAGCAGGGACGAAAGUCGGGCUUAGUGAUCCGGUGGUUCCGUAUGGAAGGGCCAUCGCUCAACGGAUAAAAGCUACCCUGGGGAUAACAGGCUUAUCUCCCCCAAGAGUUCACAUCGACGGGGAGGUUUGGCACCUCGAUGUCGGCUCGUCGCAUCCUGGGGCUGUAGUCGGUCCCAAGGGUUGGGCUGUUCGCCCAUUAAAGCGGCACGCGAGCUGGGUUCAGAACGUCGUGAGACAGUUCGGUCCCUAUCCGUCGCGGGCGUAGGAAAUUUGAGAGGAUCUGCUCCUAGUACGAGAGGACCAGAGUGGACUUACCGCUGGUGUACCAGUUGUCUUGCCAAAGGCAUCGCUGGGUAGCUAUGUAGGGAAGGGAUAAACGCUGAAAGCAUCUAAGUGUGAAACCCACCUCAAGAUGAGAUUUCCCAUGAUUAUAUAUCAGUAAGAGCCCUGAGAGAUGAUCAGGUAGAUAGGUUAGAAGUGGAAGUGUGGCGACACAUGUAGCGGACUAAUACUAAUAGCUCGAGGACUUAUCCAA
rnacentral:rRNA from 1 species